rnacentral:rRNA from 1 species
CCUACGGGGGGCAGCAGUAGGGAAUCUUUCACAAUGGGCGAAAGCCUGAUGGAGCAACGCCGCGUGCAGGAUGAAGGCCUUCGGGUUGUAAACUGCUUUUAUAAGCGAGAAAUAUGAUGGUAACUUAUGAAUAAGGAUCGGCUAACUACGUGCCAGCAGCCGCGGUCAUACGUAGGAUCCGAGCAUUAUCCGGAGUGACUGGGUGUAAAGAGUUGCGUAGGUGGCAUAAUAAGUAGCUAGUGAAAUCUGGUGGCUCAACCAUUCAGACUAUUAGCUAAACUGUUAAGCUCGAGACCGUUAGGGGUAACUGGAAUGUCUAGUGUAGGAGUGAAAUGCGUAGAUAUUAGAAGGAACACCAAUAGCGUAGGCAGGUUACUGGGACGGUUCUGACACUAAGGCACGAAAGCGUAGGGAGCAAACGGGAUUAGAUACCCCAGUAGUC